UACGUAGGUGGCGAGCGUUGUCCGGAUUUACUGGGCGUAAAGAGCGCGCAGGCGGUCGUUCAAGUCGCGUGUGAAAGCCCCCGGCUCAACUGGGGAGGGUCACGCGAUACUGAUCGACUCGAAGGCAGGAGAGGGUAGUGGAAUUCCCGGUGUAGUGGUGAAAUGCGUAGAUAUCGGGAGGAACACCAGUGGCGAAGGCGACUACCUGGCCUGUUCUUGACGCUGAGGCGCGAGAGCGUGGGGAGCAAACAGG
rnacentral:rRNA from 1 species